rnacentral:rRNA from 1 species
CCCUUAGACGUUCUGGGCCGCACGCGCGCUACACUGACGAAGGCAACGAGCUUUCCUUUACCGAAAGGUACGGGUAAUCUUUUGAAACUUCGUCGUGCUGGGGAUAGAUCCUUGCAAUUUUUGAUCUUAAACGAGGAAUUCCUAGUAAGCGCAAGUCAUCGACUUGCGUUGAUUACGUCCCUGCCCUUUGUACACACCGCCCGUCGCUACUACCGAUUGAAUGGUUUAGUGAGGCCUUCGGAUCCGCGACUCGUUUUGUGGAGAAGUUGGACAAACUCAGUCAUUUAGAGGAAGUAAAAGUCGUAACA